ACUCUCUCCGUGUCUCCUUCAAAUGUAGAUUUAAGGUAUCCCUUGCCAAUCUUGGAGGCUAAAUAGAGUUGAACCUGGUUAGUAAUUGGAUAGGAGACCACCUGGAAAUACCAGGCGAGUA
rnacentral:rRNA from 1 species